GGAGGAGUGGCCGAGUGGUUUAAGGCACCGGUUUUGAAAACCGGCGUAUCCGCAAGGGUACCGUGGGUUCGAAUCCCUCCUCCUCCGCCA
rnacentral:tRNA from 1 species